rnacentral:rRNA from 1 species
AACGAACGCUGGCGGCAGGCCUAACACAUGCAAGUCGAACGCCCCGCAAGGGGAGUGGCAGACGGGUGAGUAACGCGUGGGAACGUACCUUUCGGUUCGGAAUAACCCGGGGAAACUCGGGCUAAUACCGGAUACGUCCUGCCCCUUAAACAAGGGUGGGAGAAAGAUUUAUCGCCGAAAGAUCGGCCCGCGUCGGAUUAGCUAGUUGGUGAGGUAACGGCCCACCAAGGCGACGAUCCGUAGCUGGUCUGAGAGGAUGAUCAGCCACACUGGGACUGAGACACGGCCCAGACUCCUACGGGAGGCAGCAGUGGGGAAUCUUGCGCAAUGGGCGAAAGCCUGACGCAGCGACGCCGCGUGAGGGAUGAC